UGGUGGAGUGAUUUGUCUGGUUAAUUCCGUUAACGAACGAGACCUCGACCUGCUAAAUAGUUCAUGGAAUUCUAUGGAUUCCAGAGAUACUUCUUAGAGGGACUAUCGGUGGUUAGCCGGUGGAAGUUCGAGGCAAUAACA
rnacentral:rRNA from 1 species